UACAAUUUUUUGACUCUUCGUCUUACUUAAAUUUUUUUUACGAUUGAUAUUUUUGUUUUUAUUAGACGAUAAAUCAUGAAUAGUACUUUAAGUGUGACUAAUUUUUUUCUAAUUUCCUGAAUAUUUUUCAAAUAAAAUAGAUGAUCAAAUGUUAGACACGAAAACCGGAG
rnacentral:pre_miRNA from 1 species